rnacentral:misc_RNA from 1 species
AGCAGCCGCGGUAAUUCCAGCUCCAAUAGCGUAUAUUAAAGUUGUUGCAGUUAAAAAGCUCGUAGUUGAAUUUCGGGAUCAAAGAAUCGGUCAUGCCUUGGUAUGUACUGGUUUUAUUGGUUCUCACCUUCUAAAGAGCCAUGAUGUCAUUCAUUUGAUGUUAUGGGGAAUUAGGACUGUUACCUUGAAAAAAUUUAGAGUGUUUAAAGCAAGCUUACGCUUGAAUACAUUAGCAUGGAAUAAUGAAAUAGGACAUCAGAUUCUAUUUUGUUGGUUUCUAGGAUCGAUGUAAUGAUUAAUAGGGAUAGUUGGGGGCAUUAGUAUUCAAUUGUCAGAGGUGAAAUUCUUGGAUUUAUUGAAGACUAACUACUGCGAAAGCAUUUGCCAAGGAUGUUUUCAUUAAUCAAGAACGAAAGUUAGGGGAUCGAAGACGAUCAGAUACCGUCGUAGUCUUAACCAUAAACUAUGCCGACUAGGGAUCGGAUGAUGUUAAUUUUUUAAUGACUCAUUCGGCGCCUUA